rnacentral:siRNA from 1 species
GGGCAACGUUUAAUGUCUGG